rnacentral:rRNA from 1 species
UGAGUUUGAUCCUGGCUCAGAAUGAACGUUGGCGGCAUGGAUUAGACAUGCAAGUCGAGCGAGAACCCGCAAGGGGGACAGCGGCGAACGGGGUAGGAAUACCUAGGUAACGUACCCUCGGGGCGAGGACAGCCACGGGAAACUGUGGGUAAUACUCGAUAAACUUCCCAAUCAUUAUGGAAGGGGAAGCAAUGGGUGUGAUUCCACCUGAGGAGCGGCUUAGGCAGUAUCAGCUAGUUGGUGAGGUAACGGCUCACCAAGGCUACGACGCUUAGGGGGUGUGAGAGCAUGGCCCCCACCACUGGCACUGAGACACUGGCCAGACACCUACGGGUGGCUGCAGUCGAGAAUCUUCGGCAAUGGACGCAAGUCUGACCGAGCGAUGCCGCGUGCGGGAUGAAGGUCUUCGGAUUGUAAACCGCUGUCAGAGGGGAUGAAGUGUACGGGAGUUCUCUCCUGUAUUUGACAGAGCCUCAGAGGAAGCACGGGCUAAGUUCGUGCCAGCAGCCGCGGUAAUACGAACUGUGCGAACGUUAUUCGGAAUCACUGGGCUUAAAGGGUGCGUAGGCGGUUACCUAAGUCAGGUGUGAAAUCUCUCGGCUCAACCGGGAAACUGCGCUUGAAACUGGGUGACUGGAGGGAUGCAGGGGUGUGUGGAACUUCCGGUGGAGCGGUGAAAUGUGUAGAUAUCGGAAGGAACGCCAGCAGCGAAAGCGGCACACUGGGCAUUUUCUGACGCUGAGGCACGAAAGCUAGGGGAGUGAACGGGAUUAGAUACCCCGGUAAUCCUAGCCGUAAACACUGAGCACUGGGGGAGGGAGGCUUCGGCCUUCUUUCCCGUAGCGAAAGCGUUAAGUGCUCCGCCUGGGGAGUAUGGUCGCAAGCUGAAACUCAAAGGAAUUGACGGGGCUCACACAGCGGUGGAGCAUGUGGCUUAAUUCGAGGCACGCGAAGACCUUAUCCUGGGUUUGACAUGUACGGAUUAACCCUAUGAAAGUAAGGGCACGCU